rnacentral:rRNA from 1 species
GACGAACGCUGGCGGCGUGCCUAAUACAUGCAAGUUGAGCGCUGAAGGUUGGUACUUGUACCGACUGGAUGAGCAGCGAACGGGUGAGUAACGCGUGAGGAAUCUGCCUUUGAGCGGGGGACAACAUUUGGAAACGAAUGCUAAUACCGCAUAACAACUUUAAACACAAGUUUUAAGUUUGAAAGAUGCAAUUGCAUCACUCAAAGAUGAUCCCGGGUUGUAUUAGCUAGUUGGUGAGGUAAAGGCUCACAAAGGCGAUGAGACAUAGCCGACCUGGGAGGGUGCACGGCCAGAUUGGGACUGAGACACGGCCCAAACUCCUACGGGAGGCAGCAGUAGGGAAUCUUCGGCAAUGGAUGAAAGUCGGACCGAGCAACGCCGCGUGAGUGAAGAAGGUUUUCGGAUCGUAAAACUCUGUUGGUAGAGAAGAACGUUGGUGAGAGUGGAAAGCUCAUCAAGUGACGGUAACUACCCAGAAAGGGACGGCUAACUACGUGCCAGCCGCCGCCGUAA